rnacentral:rRNA from 1 species
UAUGUAGGGUGCGAGCGUUAAUCGGAAUUACUGGGCGUAAAGCGCGCGCAGGCGGUCUUCCAAGUCAGUGGUGAAAGCCCGGAGCUCAACUCCGGAACUGCCAUUGAAACUGUUAGACUUGAGGACGAGAGAGGUGAGUGGAAUUCCCAGUGUAGAGGUGAAAUUCGUAGAUAUUGGGAAGAACACCGGUGGCGAAGGCGGCUCACUGGCUCGUUUCUGACGCUCAGGCGCGACAGCGUGGGGAUCAAACAGG